UCACAAUAUAAGUAAUUCCAAGCCAGAGAUGAAGAAGUUGGGGUUUACACACACUCAAAAGUUUGGCCAAGGUCAUAUUAACCUACAUUUUUAGAAGAACAAUGUGCCAAAUGUUGUCAAAGAGUCUUCAUACAAAACCAGCUCUACACUUGGACACGGCUUCCAUCAAGAAGGGGGGUCUGCAUUCUCUCCACUGAAUCUGGUUGUCA